rnacentral:rRNA from 1 species
ACGGGUGAGUAAUAUAUCGGAACGUGCCCAAUCGAGGGGGAUAACGUAGAGAAAUUUACGCUAAUACCACAUACGAUCUAAGGAUGAAAGCGGGGGAUCGCAAGACCUCGCGCGAUUGGAGCGGCUGAUAUCAGAUUAGGUUGUUGGUGAGGUAAAAGCUCACCAAGCCGACGAUCUGUAGCUGGUUUGAGAGAACGACCAGCCACACUGGGACUGAGACACGGCCCAGACUCCUACGGGAGGCAGCAGUGGGGAAUUUUGGACAAUGGGCGAAAGCCUGAUCCAGCAAUGCCGCGUGCAGGAAGAAGGCCUUCGGGUUGUAAACUGCUUUCGUACGGAACGAAACGGCUCUUUCUAAUAAAGAGGGCUAAUGACGGUACCGUAAGAAUAAGCACCGGCUAACUACGUGCCAGCAGCCGCGGUAAUACGUAGGGUGCGAGCGUUAAUCGGAAUUACUGGGCGUAAAGCGUGCGCAGGCGGUUAUAUAAGACAGUUGUGAAAUCCCCGGGCUCAACCUGGGAAUUGCAUCUGUGACUGUAUAGCUAGAGUACGGUAGAGGGGGAUGGAAUUCCGCGUGUAGCAGUGAAAUGC